rnacentral:rRNA from 1 species
CCUACGGGAGGCAGCAGGGAGGAAUAUUGGGCAAUGGCCGGAAGGCUGAACCAGCCAAGUCGCGGGAAGGAAGAAGGAUCGAUGGUUUGUAAACUUCGUUUAUAGGGGAAUAAAGGUAUCCACGUGUGGAUAUUUGCAUGUACCCUAUGAAUAAGCAGCGGCUAACUCCGUGCCAGCAGCCGCGGUAAUACGGAGGAUGCGAGCGUUAUCCGGAUUUAGUGGGUUUCAAGGGUGCGUAGGUUGUUUGUUAAGUCAGCGGUGAAAGUUUGUGGCUCAACCAGAAAAUUGCCGUUGAAACUGGAAGCCUUGAGUGUGUUUGCGGUCGGCGGAAUGCGUUGUGUCGCGG